GACGAACGCUGGCGGCGUGCCUAAUACAUGCAAGUUGAGCGCUGAAGGUUGGUACUUGUACCAACUGGAUGAGCAGCGAACGGGUGAGUAACGCGUGGGGAAUCUGCCUUUGAGCGGGGGACAACAUUUGGAAACGAAUGCUAAUACCGCAUAAAAACUUUAAACACAAGUUUUAAGUUUGAAAGAUGCAAUUGCAUCACUCAAAGAUGAUCCCGCGUUGUAUUAGCUAGUUGGUGAGGUAAAGGCUCACCAAGGCGAUGAUACAUAGCCGACCUGAGAGGGUGAUCGGCCACAUUGGGACGGAGACACGGCCCAAACUCCUACGGGAGGCAGCAGUAGGGAAUCUUCGGCAAUGGACGAAAGUCUGACCGAGCAACGCCGCGUGAGUGAAGAAGGUUUUCGGAACGUAAAACUCUGUUGGUAGAGAAGAACGUUGGUGAGAGUGGAAAGCUCAUCAAGUGACGGUAACUACACAGAAAGGGACGGCUAACUACGUG
rnacentral:rRNA from 1 species